GAGGAUCUGAGGCCUGCGGUGGGCCUUGGUCCCUUCUCUCCCCGCCCCGAAGCCGCCUGCUCAACCUGAGGGCCACCGGCCUCUAUCCGUCGGUGCCGAUGCUCCUUGCUUCCCAGCCAGAGCGUCUCAUCUCUGGGCCCGGAGCCCCAGGCUCGUUCUCCUCAGCCCCUGCCGGCGGCGGCGCUCUUGCAGCCAUUCCUGUGAGGUCGUUUUUCGGAGCAGCCGGGCCGGCCGAGGAUCUCUUCCUGAACCAGUGACAGUGGUUCUCAAACAUUUUGGUCUGAGGACCCCUUUAUGGCCUUAAAAAUGAUCGAAGAGCUUUUAUUUAUGAAGGUAAUACCUG
rnacentral:lncRNA from 1 species